rnacentral:rRNA from 1 species
UACGUAGGGUGCGAGCGUUGUCCGGAUUUAUUGGGCGUAAAGAGCUCGUAGGCGGUUUGUCGCGUCUGCUGUGAAAACUCGGGGCUUAACCCCGGGCCUGCAGUGGGUACGGGCAGACUAGAGUGCGGUAGGGGAGACUGGAAUUCCUGGUGUAGCGGUGAAAUGCGCAGAUAUCAGGAGGAACACCGGUGGCGAAGGCGGGUCUCUGGGCCGUAACCUGACGCUGAGGAGCGAAAGCGUGGGGAGCGAACAGGAUUGAGAUACCCGUGUAGCU